rnacentral:rRNA from 1 species
UACGAGGGGGGCGAGCGUUGUUCGGAAUUAUUGGGCGUAAAGGGUGCGUAGGCGGUUCCGCAAGUCCUGUGUGAAAUCUUCGGGCUCAACUCGAAGUCUGCACGGGAAACUGCGGAGCUUGAGUGUGGGAGAGGUGAGUGGAAUUCCCGGUGUAGCGGUGAAAUGCGUAGAUAUCAGGAGGAACACCGGUGGCGAAGGCGGGUCUCUGGGCCGUAACUGACGCUGAGGAGCGAAAGCAUGGGGAGCGAACAGG